UCCUUGAGGCGGGAGGGAAGGAAUGCAGGCGGCCACAGCUGAGGGGGUUGGAGGGUUCGACUUUUACUUCCGUGAAGAGGUUAAGUUCCUGACGCCAGAAGAAACUCGAGUUAAAGAACAUCAUUGAAACGUUGCUUUCCAUAGUCUGCAGGAUCCAUCUGAAGCUCUCUCUCUUCAUCAUCUUUAAUUGACUUUGAACACACCCACUGAAGGAAGGAGAUGCCUGCUGGGGAUUUGGGAAAUGAAUAUCUCCCAAAUUAACAAGUGAAUCCCAAAACACCAUCAGGGCACCCAGGGACCUGCUACCAGAGCACACCUGGAAUGUAACCCUUGAAGAGUUCCUUUAACACCACCCCCCUGCCCCUCCUGAUCAGAAUGAUUGAUUGGAGUCCUGGAGGAGCAAGCUGGCCCCACACUUCUCCAAAUCCACAUUUCUUUUCCUACAAAGACUGGGAACCAAAGACACGCCUUUGUAGGAGGGUAAAUGUUUACAUUCUUUACUGAUCUCUUUGUUCUCAUGAUUCAAUUUCCUUUUGUAUUUGUUGCCCCUCCAAAGAACAUAACCUCCAAAGAACAUAACAUGUAGUCUUGUUUCCAAAAAGUGUAUAUUACUUGUUUUUUAACACAUUUUUAUGAUACUAUGUCAGCUUCUCAGUAAUCUCUAUUUUAAACCUGUUUCUGAAAUUGCUAGAGGGAUGCUAUUCUUGAAUGCACCAGAUUGGACAAGGGAAGAUGGGGGAAGAGAGAGGAGAGGAGAAUAGGGAUGACAUAGAAUGAAUUGGACAUAACUUUCUAUGUUGAU